GACGAACGCUAGCGGCGUGCUUAACACAUGCAAGUCGAACGGAAAGGUCCUGCUGUUGUGCUGUGCUCGAGGUGCGAACGGGUGAGUAGUACAUGAUUAACCUGCCCUUGACGUUUGGCUAACUUCAGGAAACUUGGGCUAAUACCGGAUUGGAGCUCCUGCUGCGUGGUGCUGUUAGGAAAGUUUCGGAGGUUGGGGAUGAACUGGUGGCUUAUCAGCUUGUUGAUGUGGCGGUGGCUUACCAAGGCUUUGACGGGUAGCCGUCCUGAGAGGGUGACCGGCAUAAUUGGGAGUGAGAUACGGGCGAGAGUAGUGAGGGAGGCAGCAGUAGGGAAUAAUGAACGAUGCGCGGAAGCCUGAUGCAGGAACGACGCGUGAGGGAUUACGGACUUCGUUUGGUAAACCGCUUUCGCCGGUGAGGAUGCGUGGGUGACGGUAAUGGAUAAAGAAGCACCGGCUAACUACGUG
rnacentral:rRNA from 1 species